GCUCGGGAGGCUACGCCGUAAAACAAACCCAUUUCUAAGGUUGACCUCGGAUCAGGU
rnacentral:rRNA from 1 species